UCUAUAUGAAUUUGGUCUGGUCGCCCCAGAAAAAUGACAUAUCGCUAGCGAGGAUUAAUACAUGUUCUACACCCUGAAAUAGAGCGUGGAUAUUUAUAGUAGAUAUAGUAUAGAUAUAGUUAAUUGGAUAUUGUAGUUCAUUGAUUGAACUGUGGUCCUUCAGUUGAGAACUCAAGGGCUAGUUACAGACCAUACAACAGAGGUAUAGUUACAUAUCUAAAUAUAACUAGCUCCAGACCAUACAACAGAGAGGUAUAGUUACAUAUCUAAAUAUAACUAGCUACAGACCAUACAACAGAGAGGUAUAGUUACAUAUCUAAAUAUAACUAGCUACAGACCAUACAACAGAGAGGUGUAGUUACAUAUCUAAAUAUAACUAGUUACAGACCAUACAACAGAGAGGUAUAGUUACAUAUCUAAAUAUAACUAGCUACAGACCAUACAACAGAGAGGUAUAGUUACAUAUCUAAAUAUAACUAGCUACAGACCAUACAACAGAGAGGUAUAGUUACAUAUCUAAAUAUAACUAGCUACAGACCAUACAACAGAGAGGUAUAGUUACAUAUCUAAAUAUAACUAGCUACAGACCAUACAACAGAGAGGUAUAGUUACAUAUCUAAAUAUAACUAGCUACAGACCAUACAACAGAGUUGUAGUUACAUAUCUAAAUAUAACUAGUUACAGACCAUACAACAGAGAGGUAUAGUUACAUAUCUAAAUAUAACUAGCUCCAGACCAUACAACAGAGUUGUAGUUACAUAUCUAAAUAUAACUAGUUACAGACCAUACAACAGAGAGGUAUAGUUACAUAUCUAAAUAUAACUAGCUCCAGACCAUACAACAGAGUUGUAGUUACAUAUCUAAAUAUAACUAGCUACAGACCAUACAACAGAGAGGUGUAGUUACAUAUCUAAAUAUAACUAGCUCCAGACCAUACAACAGAGAGGUGUAGUUACAUAUCUAAAUAUAACUAGUUACAGACCAUACAACAGAGAGGUAUAGUUACAUAUCUAAAUAUAACUAGCUACAGACCAUACAACAGAGAGGUAUAGUUAAAUAUCUAAAUAUAACUAGCUACAGACCAUACAACAGAGAGGUGUAGUUACAUAUCUAAAUAUAACUAGCUACAGACCAUACAACAGAGAGGUAUAGUUAUAUAUCUAAAUAUAACUAGCUCCAGACCAUACAACAGAGAGGUAUAGUUACAUAUCUAAAUAUAACUAGCUCCAGACCAUACAACAGAGAGGUGUAGUUACAUAUCUAAAUAUAACUAGCUCCAGACCAUACAACAGAGAGGUAUAUAGUUAUAUAUCUAAAUAUAACUAGCUCCAGACCAUACAACAGAGAGGUAUAUAGUUAUAUAUCUAAAUAUAACUAGCUCCAGACCAUACAACAGAGAGGUAUAUAGUUACAUGUCACUUAUAUCUGUCGCAUGUUUUAACUAUGGACAAUAAGACUGCAAAUAGGGUAAAAUACAUCCGUUACAAGC